UACGAAGGGUGCAAGCGUUACUCGGAAUUACUGGGCGUAAAGCGUGCGCAGGCGGUUAUGCAAGACAGAGGUGAAAUCCCCGGGCUCAACCUGGGAACUGCCUUUGUGACUGCAUAGCUAGAGUGCGGCAGAGGGGGAUGGAAUUCCGCGUGUAGCAGUGAAAUGCGUAGAUAUGCGGAGGAACACCGAUGGCGAAGGCAAUCCCCUGGGCCUGCACUGACGCUCAUGCACGAAAGCGUGGGGAGCAAACAGG
rnacentral:rRNA from 1 species